rnacentral:rRNA from 1 species
CACGUAGGGUGCGAGCGUUGUCCGGAAUUAUUGGGCGUAAAGAGCUCGUAGGCGGUGUGUCGCGUCGGCCGUGAAAACUUGCAGCUUAACUGUGGGCGUGCGGUCGAUACGGGCAUCACUGGAGUUCGGCAGGGGAGACUGGAAUUCCUGGUGUAGCGGUGAAAUGCGUAGAUAUCUGGAGGAACACCGGUGGCGAAGGCGGCAUCCUGGACCGGCAUUGACGCUGAGGCGCGAAAGCCAGGGGAGCAAACGGG